rnacentral:rRNA from 1 species
ACGGGGAGCAGCCCAGAGCCUGAAUCAGUGUGUGUGUUAGUGGAAGCGUCUGGAAAGGCGUGCGAUACAGGGUGACAGCCCCGUACACAAAAAUGCACAUAUUGUGAGCUUGAUGAGUAGGGCGGGACACGUGGUAUCCUGUCUGAAUAUGGGGGGCCCAUCCUCCAAGGCUAAAUACUCCUGACUGACCGAUAGUGAACCAGUACCGUGAGGGAAAGGCGAAAAGAACCCCGGCGAGGGGAGUGAAAAAGAACCUGAAACCGUGUACGUACAAGCAGUGGGAGCACGCUUAGGCGUGUGACUGCGUACCUUUUGUAUAAUGGGUCAGCGACUUAUAUUCUGUAGCAAGGUUAACCGAAUAGGGGAGCCGAAGGGAAACCGAGUCUUAACUGGGCGUUAAGUUGCAGGGUAUAGACCCGAAACCCGGUGAUCUAGCCAUGGGCAGGUUGAAGGUUGGGUAACACUAACUGGAGGACCGAACCGACUAAUGUUGAAAAAUUAGCGGAUGACUUGUGGCUGGGGGUGAAAGGCCAAUCAAACCGGGAGAUAGCUGGUUCUCCCCGAAAGCUAUUUAGGUAGCGCCUCGUGAAUUCAUCUCCGGGGGUAGAGCACUGUUUCGGCAAGGGGGUCAUCCCGACUUACCAACCCGAUGCAAACUGCGAAUACCGGAGAAUGUUAUCACGGGAGACACACGGCGGGUGCUAACGUCCGUCGUGAAGAGGGAAACAACCCAGACCGCCAGCUAAGGUCCCAAAGUCAUGGUUAAGUGGGAAACGAUGUGGGAAGGCCCAGACAGCCAGGAUGUUGGCUUAGAAGCAGCCAUCAUUUAAAGAAAGCGUAAUAGCUCACUGGUCGAGUCGGCCUGCGCGGAAGAUGUAACGGGGCUAAACCAUGCACCGAAGCUGCGGCAGCGACGCUUAUGCGUUGUUGGGUAGGGGAGCGUUCUGUAAGCCUGCGAAGGUGUGCUGUGAGGCAUGCUGGAGGUAUCAGAAGUGCGAAUGCUGACAUAAGUAACGAUAAAGCGGGUGAAAAGCCCGCUCGCCGGAAGACCAAGGGUUCCUGUCCAACGUUAAUCGGGGCAGGGUGAGUCGACCCCUAAGGCGAGGCCGAAAGGCGUAGUCGAUGGGAAACAGGUUAAUAUUCCUGUACUUGGUGUUACUGCGAAGGGGGGACGGAGAAGGCUAUGUUGGCCGGGCGACGGUUGUCCCGGUUUAAGCGUGUAGGCUGGUUUUCCAGGCAAAUCCGGAAAAUCAAGGCUGAGGCGUGAUGACGAGGCACUACGGUGCUGAAGCAACAAAUGCCCUGCUUCCAGGAAAAGCCUCUAAGCAUCAGGUAACAUCAAAUCGUACCCCAAACCGACACAGGUGGUCAGGUAGAGAAUACCAAGGCGCUUGAGAGAACUCGGGUGAAGGAACUAGGCAAAAUGGUGCCGUAACUUCGGGAGAAGGCACGCUGAUAUGUAGGUGAAGUCCCUUGCGGAUGGAGCUGAAAUCAGUCGAAGAUACCAGCUGGCUGCAACUGUUUAUUAAAAACACAGCACUGUGCAAACACGAAAGUGGACGUAUACGGUGUGACGCCUGCCCGGUGCCGGAAGGUUAAUUGAUGGGGUCAGCGCAAGCGAAGCUCUUGAUCGAAGCCCCGGUAAACGGCGGCCGUAACUAUAACGGUCCUAAGGUAGCGAAAUUCCUUGUCGGGUAAGUUCCGACCUGCACGAAUGGCGUAAUGAUGGCCAGGCUGUCUCCACCCGAGACUCAGUGAAAUUGAACUCGCUGUGAAGAUGCAGUGUACCCGCGGCAAGACGGAAAGACCCCGUGAACCUUUACUAUAGCUUGACACUGAACAUUGAGCCUUGAUGUGUAGGAUAGGUGGGAGGCUUUGAAGUGUGGACGCCAGUCUGCAUGGAGCCGGCCUUGAAAUACCACCCUUUAAUGUUUGAUGUUCUAACGUGGACCCGUGAUCCGGGUUGCGGACAGUGUCUGGUGGGUAGUUUGACUGGGGCGGUCUCCUCCUAAAGAGUAACGGAGGAGCACGAAGGUUGGCUAAUCCUGGUCGGACAUCAGGAGGUUAGUGCAAUGGCAUAAGCCAGCUUGACUGCGAGCGUGACGGCGCGAGCAGGUGCGAAAGCAGGUCAUAGUGAUCCGGUGGUUCUGAAUGGAAGGGCCAUCGCUCAACGGAUAAAAGGUACUCCGGGGAUAACAGGCUGAUACCGCCCAAGAGUUCAUAUCGACGGCGGUGUUUGGCACCUCGAUGUCGGCUCAUCACAUCCUGGGGCUGAAGUAGGUCCCAAGGGUAUGGCUGUUCGCCAUUUAAAGUGGUACGCGAGCUGGGUUUAGAACGUCGUGAGACAGUUCGGUCCCUAUCUGCCGUGGGCGCUGGAGAACUGAGGGGGGCUGCUCCUAGUACGAGAGGACCGGAGUGGACGCAUCACUGGUGUUCGGGUUGUCAUGCCAAUGGCACUGCCCGGUAGCUAAAUGCGGAAGAGAUAAGUGCUGAAAGCAUCUAAGCACGAAACUUGCCCCGAGAUGAGUUCUCCCUGACCCUUUAAGGGUCCUGAAGGAACGUUGAAGACGACGACGUUGAUAGGCCGGGUGUGUAAGCGCAGCGAUGCGUUGAGCUAACCGGUACUAAUGAACCGUGAGGCUUAACCUU